CUGGUUGGGUCAGGGCAUGCUGCAAACUGCCCCGUAAUUGCAAGUCCCUGUAAUAAUGCUUUUCUUGGCCAGGACACAAACCACACUCGAGAAGGUCUUCCUGAGUGCUGAAGGUCAAUCAACUAGAACUUUCUCAAGCUUUUAGAGGAGUGGAUUCUGGAAACAAAUCUGCUUCCCCAGGAACAACUAUCCUCAGGAGGUCAGGCUCUCUAGGGAACAGCCCCGAGAUGAGGAGACAAGUACAAGAUGUAUUGAGGAAUCGCUCUCAAAAGGCAGCUGGCACGGAGCAGGACAGGAACGGGGCGAAGAGCGAGGCUCUGGAGUGCCGUCAAGCCUUCACUGCAGCCCACGGUGAAGCCUCGCGCUUGACUCUGCCUGUGACUCUAUUCCUAUUCCAGUCAGACGGACUCAUCCAUCAAGGACCUGGCACAGGGUGGGGUCAGCGCCCGAGAAUCUCCAGCUUCCUCCAGCUGCCCAGGAACAGGCUUCUGGAAGGUUCCAUGUGAGAAAGUGCACUUCACCAGGGCAGUGGCCACAGGAGGAGCUCAGCAACACAGCACAGGUCUAGGGUGUACAAGGUCCCGUAUCAAGAUCCAGCACAAAACUAGCAAAGAAGCCUCUUGGUCAGCAGAUGUGGUGAGCACCCUGAUUCUCGGCAGCUCUGCAGACCCCCUUUGUCUUGUACUCAGUCUGUGCAUUUCUUCAGGGGGCAGUCCUUCAGUUACAGCCUUUCAGUAAAUGAAUGUCAAUAA